rnacentral:rRNA from 1 species
CCUACGGGAGGCAGCAGUAGGGAAUAUUGCUCAAUGGGGGAAACCCUGAAGCAGCAACGCCGCGUGGAGGAUGAAGGUUUUAGGAUUGUAAACUCCUUUUGUUAGAGAAGAUUAUGACGGUAUCUAACGAAUAAGCACCGGCUAACUCCGUGCCAGCAGCCGCGGUAAUACGGAGGGUGCAAGCGUUACUCGGAAUCACUGGGCGUAAAGAGUGCGUAGGCGGGAUAAUAAGUCAGAUGGGAAAUCCUGUGGCUUAAAUACAGAACUGCAUUUGAAACUGUUACUCUGGAGUGUGGGAGAGGUAGGUGGAAUUCGUGGUGUAGGGGUAAAAUCCGUAGAGAUCAAGAGGAAUACUCAUUGCGAAGGCGACCUGCUGGAACAUUACUGACGCUGAUGCACGAAAGCGUGGGGAGCAAACAGGAUUAGAUACCCUAGUAGUC